UACGGGGGGGGCAAGCGUUGUUCGGAAUUACUGGGCGUAAAGGGUGCGUAGGCGGCUUUCUAAGUCGGAUGUGAAAACUCUGGGCUCAACCCAGAGCCUGCAUCCGAAACUGGAGAGCUAGGGUUCUGGAGGGGAAAGCGGAAUUCCUGGUGUAGCGGUGAAAUGCGUAGAUAUCAGGAGGAACCCCGGCGGCGAAGGCGGCUUUCUGGACAGAUACCGACGCUGAGGCACGAAAGCUAGGGGAGCAAACAGG
rnacentral:rRNA from 1 species